rnacentral:rRNA from 1 species
UACCAGCACCCCGAGUGGUCGGGACGUUUAUUGGGCCUAAAGCAUCCGUAGCCGGUUCUACGAGUCUUCCGUUAAAUCCAACUGCUUAACAGGUGGGCUGCGGAAGAUACUAUAGAGCUAGGAGGCGGGAGAGGCAAGCGGUACUCGAUGGGUAGGGGUAAAAUCCGUUGAUCCAUUGAAGACCACCAGUGGCGAAGGCGGCUUGCCAGAACGCGCUCGACGGUGAGGGAUGAAAGCUGGGGAGCAAACCGGG